rnacentral:lncRNA from 1 species
ACUGGCUUAGCUAGCUCCUAGCUAUAUCAAUGGGGAAGGUCUGCAUUUGGUAUAUCAAGUUCCAGUUUGAUUUUUUUCUUCCGAGUCCUGUCAAAGGUUUCCGUGUACACUUAGAGUGCUUUUGAUUCAAAGUUCAAGGCAAAGUUUUCAAGCUUACGUUUCGUUUCUGGAUAUACAUUGGAUUGUCAAUUCCUACUAAUUUAGCAGGCCACGGGUUAGACGAGAGUAUUUGACCUGCUGCCGGUAACUCAGCCGGUUCAAAAGGUAAUUUCCACUUUAGUUAUGAAAGUUAGGGUGUUUAUGUGGAGGUUUUUAAACGAUAGGGGGUUUCGUGUCUUUUCGUGAAACCAUAGGGGGGUUCCGUGUAUUUUACCCAUAUAAAUUAUCACCAUACCAAACUUGCAGCUCUUCCCGAAUCGGCCGACCCAGUCCUGACCCCUCCUCCAAAUGUCUUUUUUUUUUCUUUUGUUUUUUUUUUGUCAUUAGCAGCAACUUCUAAUCUACUUCUACAUCAACCUAUAUUAUGCGAGAGGAGAAGUCUACAGAAACGUAUCAGAGGUGUAGGAUGAACCGUCAGAUUAGAUAAGUUCACUACUGUGCUCUCUGAUUUUUUUUGGAAAAACAAGGAAGCUCUUCCCAAAUCGUGCUGACCCAUACCUUCCCCCUCCUUCAAAUGUCUUUUUUUUCCUUUUUUUUUUUUUGUCAUUAGCAGCAACUUCUAAUCUACUUCUACAUCAACCUAUAUUAUGCGAGAGGAGAAGUCUAAAGAAACGUAUCAGAGGUGCAGGAUGAACCGUCAGAUUAGACAAGUUCAUUACUGUACUCUCUGAAUUUUUUUGAAAAAACAAGGAAGCUACACACUUCCUUGUAAUGUAUUAGGUGGGGUUUGAAUCUUUAAUUUAGUGCACAAGAGAGCUUAAAAAGGCUUUUCCUAGUUAUUAGACCAAGAUCCAAUGAUUCUCCAAAUGACUUGAUUGCUUUCAAUGAUAAAAGAUAAUAGGCUAAUAUGUCGAUAUGCAAUUUAUAUGCAUUGUUUUAGUUGUUUAUGCUUAAACAAAAUUAGUAAUUAGUGAAUAUAAAUUCACAUACUAUAUAUACACCUUUAGCAUAUGCUUGCAACUUAGUUACAUAUUUUGGAACGAACUGGUCCCAAAAUUCCGUAUAACAAGGAACGCAUAGGACGGUCUGGUACCAAAAUUCUAUGGAAGCACUGGACCCUGCCGAAACCAGUCCCAAAAUUUCCUCAACUUGUUCUCCAUUGUUAGGCCUCUCAUUUAUGAUAUCCAUGUCCUACGUGGAAUUGAUGUUAUUAGCUAGGGGUGGCAAUCGAGUCCGUUUCGGGUUGAGACUCGGGUAUAACAGAAAACCCGUUGAUCCGAACCUGACUUGCCAACCCGAAACGGGUCAGAAUACCUGACACGAAUCCGAAAAUUUUGGGUUGGCGGGUCGACCCGAAAUGACCCGAAUUUAAUUUUAAUUUAUUAAUUUAUCACUGUAAUUUCUAAUAAAACCAAUUUCGUACAAGACUAAUUACAUAAUCAAGUAAUAAAAAUUUAAAUAAAUAAUCCCAAACCAAAUCUAAAAUAAAUUAAAACUGUAUAAAAGUAAAAAAUAAUAUAAUGCAUUAUUUAUCCAAAUAUAAUAAUUUCAAUCUCACACACGUUAAAUAAAUUCAUUUAGGAUUAAGUAAUUAAUGCAUUUGGAAAAAAAGAAUAACUUAGUUUAGUUAGAUAAAAUAAUUUUUAUGUUUAUUAAAUUAUUUUUAAUUCUUAAACAGGUUAUCGGGUCAUAUCAGGUCAUCCACAGAUUGACCCGAAUUCGACUCGUUUUCUUUUCAGGUCCAUCGGGUUCGACCUAAUUCUGACUCGAACCCGCGAAACCUCAACUCAAACCCAUUAAUUUCGUGCUAGUUUCGUGUCGUGUUUUCAGGUCGUGUCGGAAAUUACCACCUCUCUUAUUAGCCAUCAUCCAUCAAGAUGUUAAAGGAUAGAGGAGGAUCCCCAAAACUGGAGUCCUGUAUGGACUAAAUAUUUUUUAGGGUGCCUUUCCAAAAAAAAAAAUUUUAUUUACUAUUAUAUAGUCCUGUAUGGACUAUAUAAUUUUAUUUUAGAGUGUUUUAAAAUUUAGACUUUUUUGGGACAUUUUAAAAAUUAUUUACUAUUCCUCCCUCUCCUCCUUCUCUUUCCCUACGCUGCAUCCUUCUCCCUCUUUAUCCCCCAACCCCACUCCUACCCAGGUUGGUUAGGCACCAUAAGCAAAUCUAGUCACAAAAAGGAGGAGGAGCAGGGUUAAGGAGGGGGGAAGGGGAGAAGAGGACGGAGGAUGGAGGAGAGAGGUUAAAGGAGAGGGAAAGGAGGAGGAGGAGGAGGGAGGGGAUGGUAAUGGUGGUGGAAGAAAAGGGUGGUGGUUUUUUUUUCUAUUUUUUAAUAUUUUUAUUAGAAGUAUUUGAGAUUUAUUUGAAGUGUUUUUGGGAUAGAUUUUACUCUAGUGUUAUACUUGAAAAACUAGGGGGCUGUUUGGUUAAAGGGUUUGGGAAUCACAGAAUGGAAUAAACCCCUUAUUUGUUGCUUGGGUUAAGCCUAUUGGAAUGCAAUUUUUGGAAUCAUUUCUAAAAAAUAGGACUUAUCUCAUUCCCGAACAAAUUAGGAGAUUUUGGACAAAACCCUCAACUUAUUCCCUCGGACAACAUUUAUGACGGACCUACCCCUCACAUACAAAACUCCUCUACCCUCUCUUUCUCGCCGUCACACGCCGUCUUUCUGUUCUUCUUCUUCAUCAGUUUUUCUAUCUCUUCUUCUUCAUCAUAUAGUCUUCAUCUAUAAUCCAAAAUCUCUUGAAAAAAAAAAAGAUCUAAAGUAGAUCUAAAUAGAUUAAUAGUGGGCAAAUUAUUCAACAAGAUCUCCACGAGAAAGAUCUCUAAGAAAAAUUGAAGAAAACCCUCCACCCAAAUUUCUCCUAUAAUUAAUACUAAGGUAGAAUUUGCGAUUUGAAAAAAUGGCGGAGAUGUUAACUAGAAAACAACCAAUUCAGUCUCCAGGACGGGAUGACAUGGUUGAUCUCCCAAGGUGGGUCCAAUCAGUUGUCAGGGAGGAAUGGACAGCCGAAGUUUUUGAUGUCGAGUUGAUGAGGUUCCAAAAUAUUGAAGAAGAAAUGGUGCAGAUGCUGCAAAUAGCCAUGGCAUGUGUUGCCAAGGUGCCAGACAUGCGACCAAACAUGGAUGAAGUAGUUAGGAUGAUUGAAGAGGUCCGGCAAUCUGACUCGAAGAAUCGACCAUCUUCAGAAGAGAACAAAUCCAAGGACUCAACUAUGCAGACCCCUUGACUCCUUGGAGGCUCUCCUUGUUUAUGUUUUUUGCGGUUUUCCAUUUGUAUUUUGAAAGGGUACUCUAUUCUUAUAAUGGAGGAAAGUCAUAAACAGCUGGUAUUUUAUUGGAAAACGGGUUUAUUUUUAUUUUAUCCGAUAAAUAAAUUUGUUUAUGAGAAAAUGGGUACUCUAUUCUUAUAAUGGAGAAAAGCCAUAAAGAACUGAUCUUUUAUGGGAAAGUGAUACUUUACAAAAAGUGACCGCGAUUUGGUUUAUGAAAUUACCCCAAACCAAAAUUUAGAAUGAAUUUGUUUGUUUUGAAACCUCAAGGGAGUGUCAGUGCAAGUGUCAAAAACCUCAAGGGAGGUUUCUACAAUUAUCUCUUUGUUUUAUAAGAAUUGUUAUAUCAGGUUAAUUUGAAAUUUAAUUGCAUUUAAUUCUGAAACACUCAUCAAACCAAACAUCAGGAAUUGGAAUGAUGCUAAUUUUAAUGUGUGAACCAAACUAGAUAUUGGAAUGAAAAGUUUAAUUACAAACCAGAGUCUAUGAUUCCAUUUCUAUUUCCGAUUCCAAUCUGUGAAACAAGCACUCCUAGUUUUUAGAAAAUCUCCAAAUCUAAACAAAUCUAAGAUUUCAAUAUGGUAUAAUUAGUUUUUAGAAAAUCUUCAAAUCUAAACAGACCUAUGAUUUCUAUAUGGAAUAGAGUUUCUCAAUGAACAUCUUUUCAUAGGUGUCAUAGAGUUUAUUGUAUAAUUAACCUUUUUUACCUAAAAAUAAUCGCAUUUUAUUGAUUUUCAAUAAAGAAAUCUGUACAAGCAGCUCAUAAUACAUUAGAACUGCUAGUUCUCACCAUCUACACUUGUUUUUGCAGCUCUUUAGUAAUUUGACAUUGUGCAGGAUUUAGCGGCUUCUUUUGUCCUCCGUUACUGCGUAAGAGUAGCAUGCUGCUGCUAACUAGGGAUUGCUCUUGCAUUAUCAAUAAUAGCUCGUAGUUUUACGUCAAAGAAGAAGUCAUUGCCUAAAGUAUCCAAAUUGAUAUAGAACCGACAGCAGGAAUAAGUUUCCGGACUGAGUACCAUCAUCUUCUCAUAUUUUGUUCUUGGAGGCCUAAACCUAAUCAAUUUUUUUGCAUCGCCAUAAAUCAAUUAAUAUUUCUUCCAUAUAAGAUCAAGAAGCUAUUAGGGUCUCAAGGUUUACGUAUAGGUAGACAAAUUUUGUCUGCUUUACAUAUAAGAUCUUGGAUCCUCGUAUUUUUCAAAUAAUUUUUGGAUGCAAACUCUUUUUUUUUUUAAUCAAUAAUCAUUAUACUUUUGAAGGCAUGAUGACUGUUAACAUGGUUGGGUUGAAUGUAAAAAAAAAUAAAAUGGUUGGGUUGAUUGUGUAACUAGGCAAGAAUGUAACCCUUAUGCAUAAGAUGUAAGUUGAAAAUUAGCGUCUAGGUCUAAAUACAGCUUUGGUCAAUAAUUAUUUUUCCUAGAGAAGUGAAUAUUUUCUCCAGGUCAUUAGAAACGAAAAAGGUAAAUUACAUAUAACCUCCCUAAAGUUUUAAAUUUUACCAUAUGAUUCCCUAAAUUUUUAAUAUAUCCACAUCAUCCCCUACGAUUUUAUGCAACCUGAAAAUAGAUAGAAAGCACUACUGAUCACUGCGAUUGAAUUAAAUGCUCUCCAAAAGUACGUGUGAUAAAAUCAUAAUAUCUACUUAAUUUGUCUAUAAUCUGUAUGAAUAUAUACUUUAUUCUUGUAGUUUUUGCAUUUAUUUGCAAAAUUACCUAGAGUUUUGUUCAAGGUGAUAAGAUCGUGGUUCAAUUUAUUGUUUAAAUAAAAACAAUACUGAUAUUUCAAUUAAUGACAUUAUGGAGGUUAUUUUCUAUCAAGUUUCUUAUUUACAUGGAACUACAGGGAGAUGAAGUCGAUAUUAUGAAAUGUUAGAUAAUCAUAUGGUAAUGUGCGAAACUACAAGAGGGUUACGUGUAAUUUAUCAUUAAAAAUUUUUUAACUCACUUACAGAGAGAGAAGCUUUGCAACUCCAAGUUUGUAUAUCUACUUAAACUUUAUAUGGGGUCUCUUGCAUCCUCAUCUAUUCAAUCAAUCAUGGAUACCAUCUUUUACCCUAUAGCUUUAUGUCCACUUGGAACGAGUGAAGGGUCCUGCAUGUCAUGAUAUCAAUGAUUUAACUUUAAACAGUUUAUCAAAUAAAUUUAGUUCAGAUCAUAAAUGAGAUUCUCCUUUUCGUUAGAUUUUUUCCAUCGAUCUCUCCAUUUGUUCAAUAUAUAUCUUAAGUGCUAUAAAUUUAUAAAAUCAACACAGGUAAUAAUAUAUUUCAUCACUUGUGUCAAUUAUACAUAAAACGAUGUAGUUUUAACUUGAAUUAGCAGUGAAGUGUGAGCGUGUGUAAAAAUUUGUCAAUUUAUAAAAAAUUUUUAUUUUUAUUAACUACAUAAAGCUGGCACAUUUAGACAAAAAAAAGUGUCACAACAAUCAGCCCUUCCAAACUGUUGUGUUUCCAUAUUGUUUUGGGACCAUUCCAUGUUUAUUAUGUCGAUACGAAAUCAGUCAAAUUUCAAGUAGUGCCCUUCCUUCUUGUGAAACAUUUUUGUCAUCAAAAUAGACAAAUUAGUUUUUGAUUCUAUUUAUCUAAUAUGUAGAGAUUUGAUUAAUGGUGAAAAGUUUGGUGCGGCGACAACUUAUAUUAAAUAGUUAAAAUAAUUUUCACUUUGCUUGAUAUUUUUGUGCCAACACGUUGGAACCUGUAAAUACAGAGUAAUGCCCAUGGAAGAGGAACCGUUCCUGCUAGUUCAUAAUCAAGAUUUGAUAAAAAAAAAAUGUAAGGUUCAAAUUUUAUUUUGUACUUCAAUUUUUUAUCAUUAUAUGUGAAACUCAUAAAAUUUUGUUAUAUAAUUACAUAUUACUAAAAAUAAAUAAUAACGUAUGAAAUUAAAGUUACACCAUAUAUAUUUUGCACAAAAUUACCUCGAACGAUUUUUUUUUUAUAAUCGUUCGGCCCUUGUCCAAUGCCCAUUCAUUUGAUAAUCGCAUUCUUCUUUCUUUUUUUAAUAUUGACAUUGAUUGACACUAACAUAUCAGACACCCCGAAUGUGACCAUUCUUGUCCUUUCGCAGAAUCUUAGAACCGGUCCAUACUAAAUUAUUGUCCUCCUGCCGAAUUUUGGGAAUUGGGACCAGUCUUUCUUGUGAGUUCCGCCUGUUGUUAAAUUACUCAGGCAACUUGUUCUCCAUUGUCACGUCUCUCAUUUAAUUUUUCUUUUAUAUCUUCUAGAGUAGUAGAUAUAAUUUUUAAUUAUAAUUAUUUUAAAUGUAAUUGUCUUGAUAUCCAGCCAUCAUUCGUACGAGGAUUUGCGGUUGUUAGCCAUCAUCCAUCACGAUGUUGAAGGAUGGUGGAGGACAUUGAGGAGUAGAGAAAAUUGGGUUCCAUGGAUUAAAUAUUCCUCAGGGUGCCUUUCAAAAAAACAAUAUUGCAAUAUUGUAUUUUAAAAGCUUUACUAAUACAAUAUGUAUUUUAGAGUGUUUUAUAAUUUAAACCUUUUUCAGUUACUUUUUAAGAUUUAAUUGAAAUGUUUUUGUCAAUGUUUUUAAAUUCGAACCAAUAAGUGAACCAGUCAAAUGUCCAAGUCACGAUUCAAUUGAUCUUUACAAUUCAACAUCGAUUUUCUUGAUGCAUUGGAAAGCUGACUCAAAGGGCUACAAGUUUAAUGUUUUGGUCAUGAGCUAAAUCAGCUUUUAUCAUCAAAUAAAUGCAGUUGAAAUUGAGUCAAAAUCGGAGCAGAGCUGGAAAUUGAACCAGAAGUGACCAAAUGGUCACUGUAUCAAUCCGGCCGGAAUUUGGCCGGAUUUAAGGCCGGAUUUAUGGCCGGAUUUCGGUCAGAAAAGGCUGCUCUGUCACGCGUAAAACUCAAUUUCACUCCCACCACCACAUUGAUGAUUGCUAUACAUGUGAGAAACAUUUCAGCUGUAAAAAGGGAGAUGUAAUCCUCAUUUCUUGACCACCUUUCAUCAUUAAAGAGCCAAAUUCAUUGCAAGAAAGAAAGGAAGGAGAUGGGGAAUCCAUAGCAGCAAAAUAGAGAGUGAGCUACGGGAGAAAGCUUGAAGCUACAGAAAUGUAGCUCUUUCAAUCUCCCUAGUGUUAGUUUAGCUUAGUAUAGAGUAGUGUAGCUUUUCCAUUCUUGUUUAUUAUCUAGAUUAGGAUGAAGAUGGAGAAUGAAGAAGGCAAGGAAGAAAGCUCAUGUGACAAGGGUUGUAUUCCUUCCAAACUCUUUAUCUUUUGUAUUUGAUUCCAAGUUUAGUUAAUAUACAAGUUCUGGAUUUUGUGUUCAUUAUGUGUUUCUAAAGUUUAUACCUUGGGUUUGGUUGAACUUUCUAUGAUUGUUAGUGUUAAUUGUUUGGUUAUUUGAUUGCUACGAUUUGAGCAAGUUAUUUAGCACUUUGGCUCUUUAAAUCAUGAUUAAUCUGGUACCAUUAAUUGUGAUUAUCUAAGGUGUUGUUUCUACAAUGGAAAUUGAGAUUUAACACUAGUUCAAGAAGUGCUAAACAUAGGGAGUACACUCACGAAAGUAGAGGUGCAUCUAUGUGGUUUUUAGUGAUUCAUUUCAUGUAAUUUCAUUGAAUAAAUGAACUUGUAGCUAAUUUCAUAACCAUGAGAAUAGGUAUGGAUUAGUUAUAAGUAUAAUUGAUUCACUACGAAAGUAGGAUUCAAAUGCAUAAGGAAAUUACACCAUAACUAGCCUAGAUGUAGUAAUUAAUGAUCCAAAUAUAGUACUUGCAUGAGUAGUUAGGGAUACCACAACCUAAGGAGCUUUUAUUUGUCAUUUUGUAUAAUUUCAAUAGGUUAAAUUUGUUAUAAUUCAUUGAUAGUCUAAAUAAUAGAGAAGCUUUAGUAAUACCGGUAAUUGUUCACUCUUCCCUGUGGGAUCGACCCGAUAUAUACCCUAAACUACUAGUUGACCUGUAUACUUGCAGUGAACGGGUGUAAUUCGGUUUUUUAACUUGUACGUAUGCAAAAUACCUGUCAAGUUUUUGGCGCCGUUGCCGGGGAAGAUUUGGCAAUAUCGGUGUGAAGAGCAACUUUAUUAGUUUAGACAUUUUAUUAGUUAUAGUGUGAAUGUUAUUUUCUGUUAUUUUAGUGUUUUUAUGUGUAUGUGUUUUAUAACUUAUUCUUCUUACUAAUCUUGCUCUUAAGUUGUUUAAAAGCAAUUUUAGGUAAUGAGGAGGGGAGGUCAAUUUGGAGGGGAGGUCAAUUUGGAGGACAAUGCUUGAGAAGUGGAAGAUUGGCAAUGGAUGGUUAUCAAGUGCAAAGCUCCUUCAAUAGAGGUAGCCAAGAAUUUACUGAAUGUAUGUCUUUUGAAGAUGGUUUAAGGUGCUUAAAGGCAAAAUUUGAUGUAAUUAAGUUACAAGUUCAAAUGGACACCAUGAUGCAUGAAAUUGAGCAAGGGAGGAAUGCUAAUGCUUUUAAUUCUUAUCAUGUGAUUUGUGACUUGUGUGGAGGUUAUCAUGCUACUAAUACAUGUAUGCAAGCACAAAAUGUGGAUUAUUAUUAUGAAUUAGAGCAUUACAAUCCUUGUUUUGAUCAAUAUAGUGCUAAUUGGAGCAAUUCUCCUACUUAUGGUUGGGAUAAUCAAUGUACUUAUAGUGAGUCUCCUUAUUUUUAUGAUUACCAAUCUGAAAGUGUCCAAUAUGAAUCAAAACCAUCUUGGGAGUUGGCAAUAGAGAAGUUAGCUAAUGCACCUCUGCCUUGGGAAUUAGAGAAUGAACCAUUAGCUAAUGAUUCUAAUGCAUUUUGGGAGCUAGCUGUAGAAAAUUUUUCUAAUCAAUUUGAUUUAGCCAUAGAAAAGCUAGCAAAUGCAACCUCCGACCGUUUUGAUAGGAUUGAGGAAAGGUUAGAUGAAUUAGCUUCUCACUUUGGUGAUAUACAUGAGCAAUUGAAUGUAUUGUGUGAAGUUAUUUCUUCUAAUAAUUUGCAAAAUGAUCCUAGCAUGAAUGGUGGAAAUGUUGUAUGUGAAAAUGGAUUGCAUUUGGAUGAAAAUGAUGAAUCUCAAUUAUAUUUCAAUGAGCAAAUAUCCAUUUCACAUGAUAAUACCUUUGAAACUAACUUUGAGCCUCAAGAGGUGAGUUUUAAUGACUCAUUUUUCACCCCUCUUGAGGAGUGCAGUGAAAGUAUAGGUUCUAAAGGUAUUCCUGCCCAAGAUACUCUCAUGACAUUUCCUUUGGUAAGUUCUCAAGUGGUGUAUAUUCAAGGUAAUAUCUAUGAAACACUUGGGAUAGGUAAGUCACUUUCAUUUCUCACAUCAUUAGAUCAUGUGGCUUUGGCUAUAAAGUCACCAUUUAAUGAUCCACCAAGGCCUAAAAUGGUGGAUUAUUCGUUAACUAAACCUCCUUGAAAAUGAGGAGAAAUAGUCAAGCUAUUGACUUUAAAGAAGCGCUUAUUGGGAGGCAACCCAAUGCUUGUUUAAGUUGGUGUUACUUUGGAGUGAUUUUAUGUUUAAAGUAUGAGUUUGAGUUAUUUUGUUAUUUUUUCAUUUGUAGGUUUUGGAAAAAGAUGCAAAAGUGACCAAAUGAGGUGAAAAAGGCGAAGUUUGAUCAAAGAUCUCAAUACCUCAAAUUCAGUAAUUGUGAUUUUUGAUGCAUUAAAGAGGUUUAGAAUGCAUGUUUAGAUCAUUUUACAUGUGCGUGAACGAUUUAUUUUGACAUAGAAAUGAUCUAGGGUGUAUUUUGAAGAAUUGGGGUCAAACUGAAAAUUGCAAAAAUUCUGCAAUAAGUGCAGAUUCAAUGGAUCCAAACCCUCGGAUCAACUUCUGCAAUCAGAAAAUUUUUUGCAGCAGAAUCCGGCCAAGAAUCCGGCCGGAAAUCCGGCCAGUUUAUGGCCGGAUAUGCAAACAAAAAAAAAAAAAAAAGGGCAAUGUAGCAAAUCCGGCCAAAUUUAGGCCGGAUUAAAGGCCGGAUUGAGAGGCAAAAUUGAAAAAAAAAUUUCGUGGCUACUGGCCAGUAUCCGGCCUAUAAUCCGGCCGGAAACUGGCCAGAUUCUGGCCGGUUUUGCGCAAUAGAAGGGAAUCCGCGCACGGAUUCCCCAAGUUUCUUCUUCCUCCUUUCUUCAACACUUCACACACUUACACUUAAAACACACACUACUCCUAAAAUCCAACUUUUCACCAUCCAAUCUCCAAACUAAAUGCACCAAAACAUUUCCCUUUUCCUUGUGAGUUGAUUUCAUAGCUUAAAAUCCUUCAAAAACAUGUUUUAAUUAGGAUUUGGCUUGAGAAGAACAAGGGUUUCAAAUUUUUGAACUCUUCAUUUGGGGCCAAAUUGGAGUGAAAUUUUUUGGGGUUUCUUCACCAUUUGCAUCAUUAAUCAUCUACCAACAAGUUUGAGGUAACAAAUCUUCACCAAAUGUUGUCAUUUGAAUUUUGCCAAUUUUCACUUUUUCCUAUUUUUGGGCAAUUUCGAAUUUUUUUCAUUUUGUGAAGUUUGAUGCUUUUUAUGAUGUUAUUGAGCUUAUUGAUGAUUAUUGGUGAUGUUUUUUAACUCAUGGGUUUGAGAUUAUUUGGUGAAUUUAGCAAUUUUAAGCUAAUCUUGAGGAUUACUUUGAUUUGAUCAUUAUUAGCUAAAUUUUUGGGGCAAUUGGAUUGAAGAAAAUUGUAUGAGAGUAAUGGAUUGGUCUAGGAUAUUUACAUGCUAAAUUUAGGCUUAAUUAGCUUAUCCUUUGAUUUUUGGCAUGUUUAUUCUAGAAAAUUUGAUUAAAGUUGAAUUAAUGACCUUUUUAAGUCUAAACUCAUGGUUAAGGUGCUUUUUAGCAUUUCAUUAUGCUUAUUUAGGUCAUUAAGUUGGGAGUAAGUUGUGUGAUUGUUUAAUUGCUUUCUCUACUUAUUUGGACAUUUUAUGCUUAAGUGUUUUAUUUGGAAAAAAAUGAAAGAAGCAUUUGUUGUUGAUAAUCAAUUGUAAAGUCUUGCUUGUGAAGUUAAUUGCUAAUUAUUAUGUGAGUAAGUUGAUAAGAUUGGCUAAUUAAAGAUAAAGAGGUAAAAGUGAAUGAGUUUUCAUUAUCUUUACUUAGCAAUGUACCUAUUAAAUGAAGUUAACAUUUAAUAAUUUUAAUUAGGUACAAUGGCUCGCACUAAGAAAGGUGCAGUGAAAUCUCCUCCUAAUAGGAGAGGAGAAGCUUCGACGUCUAGACACCGCGCUUGAAAAGAAAAGCAAGUAGACGUCUACGCUUCAAGACGAGCCAUUAUCGAGGAGGAGAAUCAACAACAAGAACAACAAGAGGAACAAGAGGUCCAAGGGGAACAAGAGGAGGAAGUCCCAUAUGAUAAGUCGCGCUUUACCUCCGCCGAAAAUGAAGCUUGGUACAAUGCUAGGAGGGGAGCUAAGGUAUUGGUGGAGAAAGAUGUCACUCGGAUGUUGAGGAGGUCUACCAUCUCAAGGCUCCUUUGCCAAAUUGGGAUGGGAAAACUUCUUUAACAUCCCAAACUUCUAUUAUGAGGAGCUUGUCCGAGAAUUCUAUGCGAAUGUGGAGGACAAGAAGGUUUUUCACUACGACACGGAGGUGAUUACAGUACAGUGCGAGGGAGAAAAGUUCGAGUCCAUAGAGCUGAUUUGGAGCGCUAUCUUCAUGUUUCGGAUGUGGGGCGCAAGGUAGAUUUGAAGAAAGCCUUCAAACCCAAUGAUUUGGACUCUUGGAACAUGCUAGAGGCACUUGUACGCUUGGGGGUUGAGUACAAGGCUACUCGACGACUGGGCGAUAUUCGUAUUGACUUCGUCAUUUCCGGAGUCGCAACGUCUUCUUAUUUACUCUUUUCCUCCAACAUCAUUCCGAGGGCGAGUGGAACCAAUGAGGCGCGCACAAGUGACAUCUAUUUCUUGGAUAAAAUGGAGCAUGGCUUAGGAAACAUCCAAGGCAUUCCAUUGGGAAGCAUUAUCACCAACCACAUGUGGGCUGUGGUUCAGUAACGACAUCAAACAUGCUUUCCCAUAUCCUCGGUUCUUGACCUUGAGUUUCAAAGGGUUGGAGUGGAUUUUUCUAACGCUAUCCCUACAGGUCUCAAGAAGAAGGACGUCUUUACUGGAUUUUUGCAGGUUCAUUUUGAAGAGUAAAGAGGUGGUCCUUCAACUCAAGGGGUGCUCAAGGAGACAUUAGGCAGAGGAGGAAGCAGAAAUUGAACGAAUUGAAGAAGCUCAAGGGGUUGAGACAACCACCCCCGGUCUCAACUGAGCCGUCUUCCUCACGUCCUCCAACCUCACCUCAAGACACUCGUCGUUUCUGAAGAAGAUAAUGGACAAGCUGCUUUGCGUCGAGGCUGAGGUGAAAGAAGAGCCGCCAAGAGAACAAACGGAACUCCGAGCGUCUUCGUCGCAUCGAGACCAAGUUGGGUAUUGAAGCUCCUCCGACUCCACCAUCUUCACCUGACCAAGCGACUACUUGAGGGAGUGCUCGUCACCUGUGACAUUGCCACUAGUUUUUCUUUAUUUUCUGUAGUAUUUGUGAUGUUUAUUUUUAGUGAUUUUCUUUAUUUCUUUUGUGUGAACUAAUCCAAGUGAUCUUCAUCUCUGUUGUGGUGUUAGUGAUUGACUACUAAGUUGGAAAUUCAUCACUUGGACAUGGAUUCGGAUUGCGCAAGUUCAAUUGAGCAGUAUUUUCUUUUACUCUUUAUUUAUUUUCCUUUUCUCACAUUGAGGACAAUGUGAAGUUUAAGUGUGGGGAGGAAAAUAUUGAACUUGCAUUUACUUGCUAGGUGAUGAUAUUUUGUGGAUUUAAAUGCUUAGAAAUGUUGGAAUUGUGUUUGAAUUAUUUGCCAUGUGGAUAAUUUGAUUGAAAUUGGGUUUGUUGGCAGGGAGUUUUCAUCCAUUUAUAAGGAGAAACUCUGUCAAAAUUUUUCUAAAAUCUUUUCCAAUAUUUCACUAUGGCCCAAAAGUUCUUCAAAUUUUUCAUUUUAUUCAAAAAGGGCCAAAUUGUUCCAACCUUAAGUGUUUAAUUCUUCCAAUUGUUGAAAUGUUAUAUGUAUUUUGGAAAGUUUAGUCUCAUUUAACUUGGAAAUGAUUAUUAUGCAAUUAGGAUUUUUACAUUUUAGAAAGUAUAUUGGAUAAAGUGAGGAAAAUUAUGCCUAUAAUUUUACAUGUUUAAUGAGAUUUCUUCUCUUUACUUAAUUUUAAGUAAGUGAUUGAUAUAGUCGAUAAAGGUUAUACUCCUCCUUUGAUUUUCUUAUAUAUUUUCUAAGAGGGAAUAUCUAUUUAUUGUCCUUUAUUUAAAAAAAAAAAAAAAAAAAAAAAAGAAGAAAAGAAAAGUAAAUAAAAAUUAUUCUACUCCAAUGAUUCUCGUACCGAGUAACCGGGGGUUGGCAUCUACAAAUGUCGACAUUCGCGUAAAAAGGUACUUGAAUUAAGAGUAUGCAUAGCAACUUGAAUAAGUGAAAUGUUGAGUAACCGGGGAUCUUCACCUAAAAGUGUCGAUUUUCGCGUAAAAAGGCAUUUUCACUAUUUAAGUAAAAUUAGUAUGAAUAAAUCCCUCUUAGUUAAGAAUUUUGAGAAAAAGAUGAUUAUAGGAGGAGGAAGGCUAUAAAUUGACUAUGUGAUUUGCUUAUUUGUAAAAUUAAGUUAGGGUAAGAGAUUAAGUUUAACUUGUUGAAUUUAGGGUAUAAUUAUCUUUCCUUUACUUGAUAUUAUGAGUAUUUAGUGUAAAUUGAAUAAUUGUAUAAUGAUUAUUUUCCAAGUCUUGAGGAAUUAAAUUGGACAAAGUGCAUAUAUUGUUUCACCUCUUGAAUCAUUGCAUUUGAUUAUGUGUGAAUUGCUUGAGGACAAGCAAUGAUUUAAGUGUGGGGGAGUUUGAUAAGUGACUAAUUUACGUAAUAAUUGUAUGAUAUUUUAUAUUAUUUUUAGUCACUUUGUUAUAUUAUUGGAAGAAAUAUGAAUCAUUUUGGCUAUAAUUGGUGAAUAAAUGUUUUUAAGUGAUUAAAUGAGGUUUUUAUCACUUUUUACUUGGAUUUUGUGUAUUUUGACAGUUUUGACACAUUUUCGUAUUUCGGCUAUAACUUGAGCUACAUGAUCGGAUUAAGAUGAUUCUUGAACCAAUUUGAAGAUAAGAGAUAGAUCUACAACUUUGGUGAAGACAUCUAAAUCCAGUUUGAAGGUUUUCCAGGUCAAAAUGCCGAAUUACAAUAGCAAAUUUCUACUGGUCGAACUGGAACAGGGCAAUGAGCAGGUAAGGGUAUUUCGGUCAUUUCUCAGCCUACACAGAUCCAAAUGAGGUGAUUCUUGAUGCAUUGGAAAGCUAACUCAAAGGGCUACAAGUUUCAUGUUUUGGUCAAGAGCUAAAUCAGCUUUUAUCAUCAAAAAAGUUCAGUUGAAGUUGAUCAAAAUCGGAGCAGAGCUGGAAAUUGAACCAGAAGUGACCAAAUGGUCACUGUAUCAAUCCGGCCGGAAUUUGGCCGGAUUUAAGGCCGGAUUUCUGGCCGGAUUUGGUCAGAAAAGGCUGCUCUGUACGCGUAAAACUCAAUUUCACUCCCACCAACUCACAUGGAUGCUAUACAUGUGAGAAACAUUCCCAGCUGUAAAAGGAGAUGUAAUCCUCAUUUCUUGACCACCUUUCAUCAUUAAAGAGCCAAAUUCAUUGCAAAGAGAAGGAGAGGGGAGUCCAUAGCAAAAAUAGAGAGUGAGCUACGGGAGAAGCUUGAAGCUGCAGAAAUGUAGCUCUUUCAUCUCCCUAGUGUUAGUUUAGCUUAGUAUAGAGUAGUGUAGCUUUUCCAUUCUUGUUUAUUAUCUAGAUUAGGAUGAAGAUGGAGGAUGAAGAAGGCAAGGAAGAAAGCUCAUGUGACAAGGGUUGUAUUCCUUCCAAACUCUUUAUCUUUUGUAUUUGAUUCCAAGUUUAGUUAAUAUACAAGUUCUGGAUUUUGUGUUCAUUAUGUGUUUCUAAAGUUUAUACCUUGGGUUUGGUUGAACUUUCUAUAAUUGUUAGUGUUUAUUGUUUGGUUAUUUGAUUGCUAUGAUUUGAGCAAGUUAUUUAGCACUUUGGCUCUUUAAAUCAUGAUUAAUCUGGUACCAUUGAUUGUGAUUAUCUAAGGUGUUGUUUCUGCAAUGAAAAUUGAGAUUUAACACUAGUUCAAGAAGUGCUAAACAUAGGGAGUACACUCACGAAAGUAGAGGUGCACUUAUGUGGUUUUUAGUGAUUCAUUUCAUGUAAUUUCAUUGAAGAAAUGAACUUGUAGCUAAUUUCAUAACCAUGAGAAUAGGUAUGGAUUAGUUAUAAGUAUAAUUGAUUCACUACGAAAGUAGGAUUCAAAUGCAUAAGGAAAUUACACCAUAACUAGCCUAGAUGUAGUACUCAAUGAUCCAAAUAUAGCACUUGCAUGAGUAGUUAGGGAUACCACAACCUAAGGAGCUUUUAUUUGUAUUUUGUAUAAUUUCAGUAGGUUAAAUUUGUUAUAAUUCAUUGAUAGUCUAAAUAAUAGAGAAGCUUUAGUAAUACCGGUAAUUGUUCACUCUUCCCUGUGGGAUCGACCCGAUAUAUACCCUAAACUACUAGUUGAUCUGUAUACUUGCAGCUGAAGUGAACGGGUGUAAUUCGGUUUUUUAACUUGUACGUAUGCAAAAUACCCGUCACUAGUCCCAAAAUUUCUUGGAAGGACAAUAAUAAUUCAGUGUGUACUGGUUCCAAAAUUAUGUUGAAAGGACAAAAAUGGUCGCAUCAGGUGUACGACAACGUUAGUGUCAAUUAUAAGUGACAUAUAAAUCCAUUUAGUUAAAUUUAUUCAUACUCGUUCAUAAAUAGAUAGAUAUAAAUAUUUUAAAUAUGUAAAAUAUUUACAUAUGGGUAUAAAUAGAUUAUCCAAUAAUAUCAAUUUAUUAAAUGGGUAUUAUUGGGUAACUCAUCAAAUUCAAUUAAUCCAUUUAGAAUUGUAUUCCCUCAAACCUCCUAUCUUCCCUCGCUCAAUUUUUUUUCAGAUUUUUCAUUUUGUUAUAAUGUUAACUACUUUUGUUUCAUUACUAUUAUUAUUAUUUGUUGAUGUUAUCUUAUCAUUUUAUUUUCUCUUAGUUUGUUAACUUACUCAUUUUCAACAUUACUAAUUUAUGACAAGUUUUAGUGUUUUUUCAUACCUUUUCAAAAUAAAAUUUUAAAUUUACACACGAAAAAAAAUGGUUGAGGUUCAAAAUUUUUGGAUUAAGUUUUUACGUUAACUUUUAUAUUAUUUAGUUCAAAUUUUUAUAUUCUUAUUAUUCAAUUAUUAAAUAGUAUGUAAUUUUGUGACAUAGAGUAUGAAUAGACGUUUGUGGAAAAAAAAAGAGUAUGAAUGGAAAAAAAAUUAGUAAUUAGAUUUAUUGAACAUUAUAAAUAAAUAUUUAAAACCAAUGAUGGGUGCAAAUGGUGGUGAAAAUUGAUAACUUAGUUUACAAAAAUAAAUUUAAAUGAAUUUACAAAAAAUUAAAAUAAAUGGAUUAUAAAUGAGUAAUUGGGUUAUCCAAUUCAUUUUUUGACUUACUCAUUUAUAUCCAUCUAAUUAAAUGUGUAUAAAUAGAUUGACUCGCUUAUACCCAUUAUCCAUUUUAAUCAACAUAAAUCUACCUAAGUUAUUCAUUUUGACACCUCUAGUGUCAAUCAACGACACUAAUAAAAGAAGAAAAGAAGGGAAAAAAGCCUUGAUGACUCUCUAACUUUUUUUCAAGUUAAGUUUUGCCCUCUAAUAAUUAGCAAUAAAGUUUUGAUUUUCAACUAAAAAAAAAGCAUAUUCGUGAUCCUCCUAUCAAAUUCAGCAAUUAAGAUAAAAGCAUCAUUCCAUGAAAGCAUCAUCUGAGUAAAAAAGCACUUACGAGGAAAAACUGAAAAAGACAGCUUCUUUUCUGACCUUCAGUUUCUAGAUACAUUAGAGCAACAAAAAUCUCCAUUACUGUCAAAGUCGGAACUCACAAGGAGAAGAAUGAAUAGUUCCCGUCUACCCAUGCAGAUGUGACAAAGAGAUCAGGAUGAUAAAAGGUCAAGAAUUGUCCGCAUCAGAGUGCAAGUGUCAAUCAACGACACUAAUAAAACAAGAAAAAGAAUGCAAUCUUCACGCAACCGUGAUGGAAACGUACAAAGAUAUGUCGGGCUCAGUAUAUUUACUCCAAAAUUGUGCAUCCCCAAGGAUGUACAAGUGGACUCUUUCUUAUUCAUCAAAUUUGCAUAAACCAUUUUUUUAAGCCUAAGUUCACACUAGGUUGUUCUUCAAUGAUGAGAUAACCUUGAGUGAAGAGAGAGGGUUCAUUCGGACCUACUCAUUGUCAAUUUUGAUUCACGUGUUCCAACCCGUUGGCAAAAAAAUAUCAUGCAAAGUGAAAAUUAUUUUAACUAUUUAAUAUAAAUUGGGUAAAAUACACGGAACCCCUCUAUGGUUUCGCGAAAAGACACGAAACCCCCCUAUCGUUUAGAAACAUACACAUAAACGCCCUAAACUCCAUAACUAAAGUGAAAAUAGACCUAUAACCGGCUAAGUUACCGGCUGCAGGUCGAAUACCCAAAAUACCCCAUUUCUCUCCUGCUGCCCCGCUCUCCCCUAUGCGGGCCGCUCGCGACUCUAUCCCCGUCGGCAGCUACAAUCCCUCCGAGUUUGUCGCUCCCACGGUCUCAGAGUUCACUGACGAUGCUCUCUCCCCUAAUUGGACUGCUCGCCGGAGCAAUUCUGGUAAAUUUGCUUCCUCCCUGCCAGCUGGUGGAUUUGAUAUGUCAUCCCUUAAACAGAAUAAUUUCCCGGCUAGUAGUUUAACCACCGUCUCCAUUGUCAACAUGCCCCCUGGCGGUGAACAGGGUCCUUCCAUCCUUCCCCCGGGUAAAGAGCAGAGCGGCGAGGAUGCCUCCUGCGCCGGCGCCGGCGGCGACGUCGAAGAAGUCAGCAACGCGGGCAUUUGGGUUUCCGGAUUUGCGGCGGAGGGUGGCCUCCAGGUGUGCCAGAGACUUGGCAGCAAGAACGCCGUCGGUGGAGCCACUAGCAUCAAUGGAGAGGAUUCGGACUUUGUCGCGGCCGCCUGGGAAGUGCUUGGUGCUGUGGGGAGAAGCAGCAGCAGCAGCGGCAGCAGUAGCAGGAGGAGUAGUAUUAAUUUUGGGGAGGUGGGAAACGAACUUGGGAUCGUCGUACCCAAAAAGGAACUUGUUUUCGAGGAUGGAGAAGAAUUCACAAGUGAGUUUGUCCACGUCCAUGUUGCACUCCAACUGAUGAAGCAUUGAUGAAGCUGUGGUGGUGGUGGAUAUUGCAGCUGCCGCCAUUAUCUCCUUCUUCUUGUUUGUGGAUAUUCUUGUAUUGGAAGGGAGGGGACUGACUUAGGAGUGAUUAAUGUAGUACUUGGUUCUACGUUUAAGGUAAGACUGAAAUCGCCUCAACAAAUAUUAAUGGUUCAACUGGCUUAGCUAGCUCCUAGCUAUAUCAAUGGGGAAGGUCUGCAUUUGGUAUAUCAAGUUCCAGUUUGAUUUUUUUCUUCCGAGUCCUGUCAAAGGUUUCCGUGUACACUUAGAGUGCUUUUGAUUCAAAGUUCAAGGCAAAGUUUUCAAGCUUACGUUUCGUUUCUGGAUAUACAUUGGAUUGUCAAUUCCUACUAAUUUAGCAGGCCACGGGUUAGACGAGAGUAUUUGACCUGCUGCCGGUAACUCAGCCGGUUCAAAAGGUAAUUUCCACUUUAGUUAUGAAAGUUAGGGUGUUUAUGUGGAGGUUUUUAAACGAUAGGGGGUUUCGUGUCUUUUCGUGAAACCAUAGGGGG